rnacentral:rRNA from 1 species
UACAGAGGGGGCAAGCGUUGUUCGGAAUUACUGGGCGUAGAGGGCGCGUAGGCGGCCUUCUAAGUCGAACGUGAAAUCCCCGGGCUCAACCCGGGAACUGCGUCCGAUACUGGAAGGCUUGAAUCCGGGAGAGGGAUGCGGAAUUCCAGGUGUAGCGGUGAAAUGCGUAGAUAUCUGGAGGAACAUCAGUGGCGAAGGCGACACCCUGGACUCAUACUGACACUGAGGUGCGAAAGCGUGGGGAGCGAACAGG